UCUAAGUCAAGAGUCUCCUAAAGAGCCCAAACAGCUAAGGAAGCUCUUCAUUGGAGGGUUGAGCUUUGAAACAACCAAUGAGAGCCUGAGGAGCCAUUUUGAGCAAUGGGGAACGCUCACGGACUGUGUGGUAAUGAGAGAUCCAAACACCAAGCGCUCCAGGGCCUGUGGGUUUGUCAUGUGUGCCACUGUGGAGGAGGUGGAUGCAGCCAUGAAUGCAAGGCCACACAAGGUAGAUGGAAGAGUUAGUUGUAGAAGCAAAGAGAGUUGUCUCAAGAGAAAAUUCUCAAAGACCAGGUGCCCAGUUAACUGUGAAAAAUAUAUUUGUUGGUGGCAUUAAAGAAGACACUGAAGAACAUCACCUAAGGGAUCAUUUUGAACAGUAUGGAAAAAAUUGAAGUGAUUGAAAUCAUGACUGACCGAGGCAUUGGCAAGAAAAGGGGCUUUGCCUUUGUAACGUUUGACAACGGUGACUCCAUGGAUAAGACUGUCAUUCAGAAAUAGCAUACUUGAAUGGCCACAGCUGUGAAGCUAGGAAAGCCCUGUCAAAGCAAGAGUGGUUCUGGAAACUUUGGUGGUGGUCAUGGAGGUGGUUUCAGCGGGAAUGACAACUUGGGUCAUGGAGGAAACUUCCAUGGUCGUGGUGGCUUUGGUGGCAGCUGUGGUGGUGGUGAAUAUGGUGGCUGGGGAUGACUACAGUGGAUUUGGUAAUGAUGGAAGCAAUUUUGGAGGUGGCGGAAGCUACAGUGAUUUUGACAAUUACAACAAUCAGUCUCCAAAUUUUGGACCCCUGAAGGGAGGAAACUUUGGAGGCAGAAGCUCUGUCCCCUGUGGUGGUGGAGGCCAAUACUUUGCCAAACCACAAAACCAAGGUGGCUAUGGUGGUUCCAGUAGCAGCAGUAGCUAUGGCAGUGGCAGAAGAUUUUAA
rnacentral:lncRNA from 1 species